rnacentral:rRNA from 1 species
UAGGGAAUCUUCGGCAAUGGGGGGAACCCUGACCGAGCAACGCCGCGUGAGUGAAGAAGGUUUUCGGAUCGUAAAGCUCUGUUGUUAAGGAAGAACGAGUGUGAGAAUGGAAAGUUCAUGCUGUGACGGUACUUAACCAGAAAGGGACGGCUAACUACGUGCCAGCAGCCGCGGUAAUACGUAGGUGGCAAGCGUUAUCCGGAAUUAUUGGGCGUAAAGCGCGCGUAGGCGGUUUUUUAAGUCUGAUGUGAAAGCCCACGGCUCAACCGUGGAGGGUCAUUGGAAACUGGAAAACUUGAGUGCAGAAGAGGAAAGUGGAAUUCCAUGUGUAGAGGUGAAAUGCGCAGAGAUAUGGAGGAACACCAGUGGCGAAGGCGACUUUCUGGUCUGUAACUGACGCUGAUGUGCGAAAGCGUGGGGAUCAAACAGG